UACGGAGGAUGCAAGCGUUAAUCGGAAUUACUGGGCGUAAAGCGUGCGCAGGCGGCUUUGCAAGACAGAUGUGAAAUCCCCGGGCUCAACCUGGGAACUGCAUUUGUGACUGCAAGGCUAGAGUACGGCAGAGGGGGAUGGAAUUCCGCGUGUAGCAGUGAAAUGCGUAGAUAUGCGGAGGAACACCAAUGGCGAAGGCAAUCCCCUGGGCCUGUACUGACGCUCAUGCACGAAAGCGUGGGGAGCAAACAGG
rnacentral:rRNA from 1 species